CCUACGGGGGGCAGCAGUGAGGAAUAGUGGUCAAUGGGCGCGAGCCUGAACCAGCCAAGUCGCGUGAGGGAAGACGGUCCUAUGGAUUGUAAACCUCUUUUGUCGGGGAGCAAAAGACGCCACGCGUGGCGUUUCGAGAGUACCCGAAGAAAAAGCAUCGGCUAACUCCGUGCCAGCAGCCGCGGUAAUACGGAGGAGGCGAGCGUUAUCCGGAUUUAGUGGGUUUAAAGGGUGCGCAGGCGGAAGAGCAAGUCAGCGGUAAAAUUGAGAGGCUCAACCUCGUCGAGCCGUUGAAACUGGUUUUCUUGCGUGAGCGAGACGUAUGCGGAAUGCGUGGUGUAGCGGU
rnacentral:rRNA from 1 species